GCUCUUAUGAAGUUAGCGGCGGACGGGUGAGUAACACGUGGGUAACCUGCCCAUAAGACUGGGAUAACUCCGGGAAACCGGGGCUAAUACCGGAUAACAUUUUGAACUGCAUGGUUCGAAAUUGAAAGGCGGCUUCGGCUGUCACUUAUGGAUGGACCCGCGUCGCAUUAGCUAGUUGGUGAGGUAACGGCUCACCAAGGCAACGAUGCGUAGCCGACCUGAGAGGGUGAUCGGCCACACUGGGACUGAGACACGGCCCAGACUCCUACGGGAGGCAGCAGUAGGGAAUCUUCCGCAAUGGACGAAAGUCUGACGGAGCAACGCCGCGUGAGUGAUGAAGGCUUUCGGGUCGUAAAACUCUGUUGUUAGGGAAGAACAAGUGCUAGUUGAAUAAGCUGGCACCUUGACGGUACCUAACCAGAAAGCCACGGCUAACUACGUGCCAGCAGCCGCGGUAAUACGUAGGUGGCAAGCGUUAUCCGGAAUUAUUGGGCGUAAAGCGCGCGCAGGUGGUUUCUUAAGUCUGAUGUGAAAGCCCACGGCUCAACCGUGGAGGGUCAUUGGAAACUGGGAGACUUGAGUGCAGAAGAGGAAAGUGGAAUUCCAUGUGUAGCGGUGAAAUGCGUAGAGAUAUGGAGGAACACCAGUGGCGAAGGCGACUUUCUGGUCUGUAACUGACACUGAGGCGCGAAACCGUGGGGAGCAAACAGGAUUAGAUA
rnacentral:rRNA from 1 species